rnacentral:rRNA from 1 species
GUUGCCAUCAUUCAGUUGGGCACGUCUAGAGAGACUGCCGAGGACAACUCGGAGGAAGUGGGGAUGACGUCAAAUCAUCAUGCCCCUUAUGUCCUGGGCUACACACGUGCCACAAUGGCUGGUACAAAGAGACGCAAGACCGCGAGGUGGAGCAAAUCUCAAAAACCAGUCCCAGUUCGGAUUGUAGGCUGCAACUCGCCUGCAUGAAGUCGGAGUUGCUAGUAAUCGCAGACCAGAAUGCUGCGGUGAAUGCGUUCCCGGGUCUU